rnacentral:rRNA from 2 species
UCCCUAGGACUUUAUGUCCUCUAAAGAGCCGUUCGAGACUAGGACGUUGAUAGGUUGGAUGUGGAAGCAUAGUGAUAUGUGAAGCUGACCAAUACUAAUUGCUCGUGAGGCUUGACUAUACAACACCCAAGCAGUUG